GAUGAACGCUGGCGGCGUGCCUAACACAUGCAAGUCGAGCGAAGCGCUUUACUUGAAUUCUUCGGAAGGAAAGUAUUGUGACUGAGCGGCGGACGGGUGAGUAACGCGUGGGUAACCUGCCUCAUACAGGGGGAUAACAGUUAGAAAUGACUGCUAAUACCGCAUAAGACCACAGCACCGCAUGGUGCGGGGGUAAAAACUCCGGUGGUAUGAGAUGGACCCGCGUCUGAUUAGCUAGUUGGUAAGGUAAGGGCUUACCAAGGCGACGAUCAGUAGCCGACCUGAGAGGGUGAUCGGCCACAUUGGGACUGAGACACGGCCCAAACUCCUACGGGAGGCAGCAGUGGGGAAUAUUGCACAAUGGGGGAAACCCUGAUGCAGCGACGCCGCGUGAGUGAUGAAGUAUUUCGGUAUGUAAAGCUCUAUCAGCAGGGAAGAAAAUGACGGUACCUGACUAAGAAGCACCGGCUAAAUACGUGCCAGCAGCCGCGGUAAUACGUAUGGUGCAAGCGUUAUCCGGAUUUACUGGGUGUAAAGGGAGCGUAGACGGAGAGGCAAGUCUGAUGUGAAAACCCGGGGCUCAACCCCGGGACUGCAUUGGAAACUGUUUUUCUAGAGUGUCGGAGAGGCAAGUGGAAUUCCUAGUGUAGCGGUGAAAUGCGUAGAUAUUAGGAGGAACACCAGUGGCGAAGGCGGCUUGCUGGACGAUGACUGACGUUGAGGCUCGAAAGCGUGGGGAGCAAACAGGAUUAGAUACCCUGGUAGUCCACGCCGUAAACGAUGAUUAUUAGGUGUCGGGGGGCAAAGCCAUUCGGUGCCGCAGCAAACGCAAUAAGUAGUCCACUUGGGGAGUACGUUCGCUAGAAAGAAACUCAAAGGAAUUGACGGGGACCCGCACAAGCGGUGGAGCAUGUGGUGUAAUUCGAAGCAACGCGAAGAACCUUACCUGCUCUUGACAUCCCCCCGACCGUCCCUUAAUCGGGGCUUUCCUUCGGGACAGGGGAGACAGGUGGUGCAUGGUUGUCGUCAGCUCGUGUCGUGAGAUGUUGGGUUAAGUCCCGCAACGAGCGCAACCCCUAUCUUUAGUAGCCAGCGGCCAGGCCGGGCACUCUAGAGAGACUGCCAGGGAUAACCUGGAGGAAGGUGGGGAUGACGUCAAAUCAUCAUGCCCCUUAUGAGCAGGGCUACACACGUGCUACAAUGGCGUAAACAAAGGGAGGCAGAGCCGCGAGGCCGAGCAAAUCUCAAAAAUAACGUCUCAGUUCGGAUUGUAGUCUGCAACUCGACUACAUGAAGCUGGAAUCGCUAGUAAUCGCGAAUCAGAAUGUCGCGGUGAAUAAGUUCCCGGGUCUUGCACU
rnacentral:rRNA from 1 species